AAUAAUUCACAAUCGUCCUUUCUGAGCCUCUCGUGGAUCCGUAGCUACUCACUUUUCCUCCACGUCAGCUGCAUCUGCGCACUGCUCUCAUCCACACAUACACAUAAGUUUCUUAUUCUGUUAAACGUACAGUAAAAUCGUUUCUAACGUGGCAAUAAACGCAUGGAGUGAUGUUUAAGAAGCUGAAGCAGAAGGUGAUCGAGGAGCAGUCUCCUCAGCGGAGCAGCGCGCAGGUGAGUUCAGGAGAGAGGCGCGCUCAGCCCCCUUUGUUGAACCAAGAUGCCCCGUCCUCCCCAAGUGACCGAGAGAGAACUUUGUGCAGAGAUUUCAAAUCAGUUUGAUAAUCUACAGCUGGUUGGCUACCACACGACAUGCUAUUAUUGUACUACUGCGAUCUAAUAAUAGUCUAGAUUUUUCAGUUUUGUCAUUUCUGGACCGUGACAUUAAACCUUAUUUGAAGCAUGAACAUUUAAACAUGAUAAAUAAUGAUAUAUGAAUGCAUCUUCUGACUUUCAGAGACUCUGCUUGGUUUAUCCUUUGGCGCUUUUUCACGAAUUAUUGAUGUUUGUCCUCUUUUAUGAAUCGUAGCUUAAAUAGAAUGUACCUCAGAAUAAAUAUAUCUCCAUUGAAGGGAAACUGGUUUACUCUUCAGUGAGCUGAGGUUAUGAUUGCACUUUGUCUUUCAACCACAUUUUCUGUUUGUAUUUCUUUUUGAAAUUUCCAUCAGAUCUCAGAAUAAAUUCAUCAUCUCAGCAUUUCCAGGACUCAACAAUAAAGAUUUAUUUAUUUAUUUAUAUUUGAUUGCACUGACAGCAUUUUUACCAGUCCAUGACAAUUAGUAUA